rnacentral:rRNA from 1 species
AUGAACGCUGGCGGCAGCCUAACAAUGCAAGUCGAGCGGAAACGAAGAGGUGCUUGCACCUCUGGCGUCGAGCGGCGGACGGGUGAGUAAUGCUUGGGAAUAUGCCUUAUGGUGGGGGACAACAGUUGGAAACGACUGCUAAUACCGCAUAAUGUCUACGGACCAAAGUGGGGGACCUUCGGGCCUCACGCCAUAAGAUUAGCCCAAGUGGGAUUAGCUAGUUGGUGAGGUAAUGGCUCACCAAGGCGACGAUCCCUAGCUGGUUUGAGAGGAUGAUCAGCCACACUGGGACUGAGACACGGCCCAGACUCCUACGGGAGGCAGCAGUGGGGAAUAUUGCACAAUGGGCGCAAGCCUGAUGCAGCCAUGCCGCGUGUGUGAAGAAGGCCUUCGGGUUGUAAAGCACUUUCAGUAAGGAGGAAAGGUUAAGUGUUAAUAGCGCUUAGCUGUGACGUUACUUACAGAAGAAGCACCGGCUAACUCCGUGCCAGCAGCCGCGGUAAUACGGAGGGUGCGAGCGUUAAUCGGAAUUACUGGGCGUAAAGCGUACGCAGGCGGUUUGUUAAGCGAGAUGUGAAAGCCCCGGGCUCAUCCUG